GCCGGGUGCAGUGGCGCGCGCCUGUAAUCCAAGUUACCGGGAGGCUGAGGCUGGAGGAUCGUUUGAGCUCAGGAGCUCUGAGCUGCAGCGGACUAUGUCGAUCGGGUGUCCGCACUAAGUUCGGUAUCGAUAUGGUGCUCCUGGGGGAGCCCGGGACCACCAGGUCGUCUAAGGAGGGGUGCACCGGCCCAGGUCGGACACGGAGCAGGUCAAAGCCCCCGUGCCGCUCAGUAGUGGGAUCGCGCCUGUGAAUAGACGCUGUAGUGCAGCCUGAGUAACACAGCGGGACCCAGUCUUUU
ensembl:misc_RNA Metazoa_SRP Metazoan signal recognition particle RNA